rnacentral:rRNA from 1 species
UACGUAGGCAGCGAGCGUUGUUCGGAGUUACUGGGCGUAAAGGGUGCGUAGGCGGUUUUCCAAGUUUGGUGUGAAAUCUCCCGGCUCAACUGGGAGGGUGCGCCGAAAACUGGAGGACUGGAGUACCGGAGAGGUAAGUGGAAUUCCCGGUGUAGCGGUGAAAUGCGCAGAGAUCGGGAGGAACACCCGUAGCGAAGGCGGCACUCUGGGCCGGUACUGACGCUGAGGAGCGAAAGCGUGGGGAGCAAACAGG